rnacentral:rRNA from 1 species
AGAGUUUGAUCCUGGCUCAGAACGAACGCUGGCGGCGCGUUUUAAGCAUGCAAGUCGAACGGCAAGCACUGUAGCAAUAUGGUGCUGAGAGUGGCGAACGGGUGAGUAACACGUAGGUGAUCUACCCUUGGAUGGGGGAUAGUCCGUGGAAACACGGGGUAAUACCGCAUGAGGCCUUGUGGAUAGAGCCAUGAGGUGAAAGGUGCAAUUGCACCGUCUGGGGAUGAGCCUGCGCUCCAUUAGGUAGUUGGCGGGGUAAGAGCCCACCAAGCCUACGAUGGAUAGCCGGCCUGAGAGGGUGUACGGCCACACUGGAACUGAGACACGGUCCAGACUCCUACGGGAGGCAGCAGCUAAGAAUCUUCCGCAAUGGGGGAAACCCUGACGGAGCGACGCCGCGUGGACGAUGGAGGCCGUAAGGUUGUAAAGUCCUUUUGCAGGUGAAGAAUAACUGGGGGAGUGGAAAGCCCCUGGGAUGACGUUAGCCUGCGAAUAAGCCCCGGCUAAUUACGUGCCAGCAGCCGCGGUAAUACGUAUGGGGCAAGCGUUGUUCGGAGUUAUUGGGCGUAAAGGGCGUGUAGGCGGCUCAUCAAGUCUGGUGUGAAAUCGCGGGGCUUAACCCUGCGUAUGCGCUGGAAACUGGUGGGCUUGAGUUCUUGAGGGGAAGCUGGAAUUCCAGGUGUAGGGGUGAAAUCUGUAGAUAUCUGGAAGAACACCGGUGGCGAAGGCGAGCUUCUAUCAGAGGACUGACGCUGAGGCGCGAAAGCGUGGGGAGCAAACAGGAUUAGAUACCCUGGCAG